AUGCCAGGUGGCCACCGGCCCCACCUAGCCCGUGUUGGCUCAGCGCGUGACAGUUUGGGGAAGAAGGGGAGGAGGAGGACACGGAAGUCACACGCCUCCCAACUGGGUUCCCAUUGGCCCUUGGGAUCCUUAAAAGGGCCCGGCAGCCCCAUCACGGGCAUUCUCGGACCCUCUGAGGAUUCUGUGGGUGCAGCUCCCGCGUCGUCCCACAGCAUGAGAUUCUCGGCUCUCCUCUGGCUGGCGGCUCUGGCGGGGGCCCUGGUCUCUGCCGAAGGUGACUCCUCAGAUCCUGCCCCAGGGGCUGCGGCCGCCGACCCCGGAGGCUUGACACCCGCCGCGGACCCCGCUGCGCCCCAAAAGGCGGCCCAGGAGCCCGAGGGCUCUACCCCGCAUGGAGAGGACCAGAGCCCACUGAAAUCCCUGGUAAGCAGAGGUCUCACGCUCGCGGGACAUGGCCUAGAAGGAGCAGAAAAAAGGCUGGAUAAGGGACGUCAAUUCAGGAAAAAUCUUUAUGACCGUGAGUGCAUCCCAGGGCAAAGCCUUGUGGGAACAGGAGCACCCGGCACCCGGCAUCGGGGCCCCUGCAGCCGCCCCCCCCCCCCCCGGAAACUUCCCUCUUUCAAAAGUCUCCAGUUUCUCAUCCACACUCGAGCCAUGCGGUUGCAUGAUGCCAGGUUGCACCUGGGGUCUGAGCCGCAGCCUGAGAUCCUGCCCAGGUGGGGAAGGGGGGUCCCGGGGGCCGCGUGAGGUUGGAAAGCAGAAGACAGGGCUGAGGGCAAUGCACAGGGUGGAGCCGGGGCCGGGGGGCCCCUGGGCCGCAUCCCAACCUCUGCAUCCUCCUAGGUGGAGCCGAAUUUGGACGAAAUCUGAAAAAGCUUGUUCCACAAUUCAAUUAGAUGGAGUCUGAGACGCCGAAGAGGAGGGGUCCCGGGACUCCAGGCCUCAGCCGCGCCGCAGCCCCACGUGAUUAAACUGAAGCAUCCCACUCGCCUGUGUCUGUGCUCUGUGGGGUGGGCCCCGGGGAGACGGAGAGCGGAGCCCUCCCCAAAGCCCAGAGGCUGGGCGGCGAGCCCUUUAGCCCACGCAGAGCCACGGCCACACGCGCUGGGCCUCUUCCCCAGUCCAACCCCUCACUGCGGCGCCCAGUGACAUUCGGGUGUUUCCAGAAAUCAAACCAGUCUCCAAAGCAGCAGGAUUUGUCCUUGGGAAGACGGUCAAAGCCUGAGUCACCCUAUUAAAGCCACAUUCUGGUGCCCCCUUGCCCUCCACUCACACCUUCUCCACCGCCACGGCCACGGCCACGCCCGUAGGGUCGGGUCAGGAACAUAAGGAGCCGCCUAGAGAGGCCAGCUGGACCCGGGACAGGGAUGCACGGGCUCCUCCUGCACCCCUGCUUCCCUCCCCCGAGCCAGGACCGCCCGUCACGCGCUGCACCCCGCGAGCUGCGGAGGAGCCCGGCCACCUGCCCCCGGGCCUCUGCCCUAGUUGGCACCCCAGAUCCCGCAGCCCAGCCCCUCAUGGCCCUUCCCCACCCUGCCCGACACCCCUCCCGCGGCCCUGGAGGCGAGCGCAUCCGACCUGGACCCGGUUUUAUUAUUUUUUUAAGAUUUUUUAUUUAUUUAUUCAUGAGAGACACAGAGAGAGGCAGAGACCCAGGCAGAGGGAGAAGCAGGCUCCAUGCAGGGAGCCCGACGCGGGACUCGAUCCCGGGUCUCCAGGGUCACACCAUGGGCCAAAGGCAGGUGCC
rnacentral:lncRNA from 12 species